AUUGAACGCUGGCGGCAUGCUUUACACAUGCAAGUCGAACGGUAACAGGCCGCAAGGUGCUGACGAGUGGCGAACGGGUGAGUAAUGCAUCGGAACGUGCCCCGUCGUGGGGGAUAACUACUCGAAAGAGUAGCUAAUACCGCAUACGAUCUAUGGAUGAAAGCGGGGGACCGUAAGGCCUCGCGCGAUUGGAGCGGCCGAUGUCAGAUUAGGUAGUUGGUGGGCUAAAGGCUCACCAAGCCAACGAUCUGUAGCUGGUCUGAGAGGACAACCAGCCACACUGGGACUGAGACACGGCCCAGACUCCUACGGGAGGCAGCAGUGGGGAAUUUUGGACAAUGGGCGCAAGCCUGAUCCAGCAAUGCCGCGUGCAGGAAGAAGGCCUUCGGGUUGUAAACUGCUUUUGUACGGAACGAAACGGCUCUGGUUAAUACCCGGGGCUAAUGACGGUACCGUAAGAAUAAGCACCGGCUAACUACGUG
rnacentral:rRNA from 1 species